GUGGGGGAUGAUGGAGGUGUUGAGGUCACACUCCGGUGGCUGCAUGGCUGCCGACAGCCAUUCACUGCACUCUGCCUUACUAACUGAACCCUGAUUUGGCUCACGUAUCAGUGGCCACACUCUUCAGGGAUAGGCACCUCUAGGAGGUGGAAGAAUCUGGAUUGGAUAAGCCAAUUACAAAAAUUCUAUUCCUGCUGCUUGUAAUUUUGUGCUAUGAUUCCAUCCAGUGAGAUAUGAAGGGAAAUCUGCUAGGGUGGCAGAACCUACUGGAAAAGUUCUUCUCGUUUUUUAAAAAGGAUUCAAGAGGCAAGAUUUCACUCUGUCACCCAGACUGGAGUGCAGUGGCACAAACAUAGCUCACUGAAGCCUCAAACUCCUGGGCUCAAGAGAUCCUUCUGCUUCAGCCUCCUGAGUAGCUGGGACUUCAGAAUCCCAGUCCUCUCUCUCUCACUGACCCCGAAGAUAAGCAUUGGAAAGGGGAGCUUUGGGGAAAUGAAUCUGCCCUGUCAUCUGCGUAUAGAGCUAAUCUUAAAUCCCAACUGCCAAAUGGAUCCUGAGGUGUCAGAAACUCUCCCGAGAUAAGGGGGCUUCUAGCAACCAUCUGCAUUCUGGACCCAGAUGAGAAAACCAGGGGAAGCAGAGGUAAGAACCUGUUCAAGAAGGCACAUCUCAGAUGUGGAAGAACCAUGAUUCAACUCGAGUCUGUCUGCUUCCCAAGACUGUGGUAUUUAAACAGCUUAUAAUGAAAAUUCCUUCUAUAGCUCCCCAUAAAAGGGCACACAGUUCUUUCUUAACGUAUUAUUUCAGGCAUUCAUUCACCAUUGAUGUAUUUGUGAAGGUGUUCUCUCUAAAUAAACUAUUGGGACCUUACUUGACUGUGA
rnacentral:lncRNA from 10 species